GGAAGGCUGGCGGUGGACGGGUCCCUCGCCAACCCGGUCAGGUCCGGAAGGAAGCAGCCGUAACGAGUUCCGGCUCGGGUCGCCGUCCAGUCUUCCACG
rnacentral:SRP_RNA from 1 species